GGGUGAUUCUUUUGGACUAAUUCAUGUGGCUGCAAUUGGAGCUGGAUGAUCUAAAUGGUCUCACUCCUAGGUCUGGCUGUUGAUGUUGGCUGUUGGCUGAGCCAGGGGCCGCCAGCAGGCUAGCAUGGGCUCUUCACUCAGCAGCAGGGUUCCCCAAGAGGACAAGCCCAACACACAUGUGCUUUUCAAGCCUGUGAUUAUCAGGCUUGAAAUACUGCAACAUCUGCUGCAAUCAGUAACAACCACAUAAGAAAGCAAUGACAAGUUAUGAUUACUGCUCUGGAGGGAGUGAGCAGGAUGCUGUGAGAGAGGGUUACUAUUCCAAGUGGCACCUGGGCCAGCAGCAUUGGCAUCACCUGGGACUUGUGAGAAAUCCAGCAUCUCAGGCUCCACUGCAGGUCUCCUAAAUCAGAAUCUACAGUUUAACAAGAUCCCCAGCAGAUGUGUGUGUAAGCUCAAGAACCUGUUGAGAGGAGCACCUAGCAUAAGACCUGGCUUGUGACAGGAGCGCCCAGUUCAUGGAGGCUGCUGCUGUCACUAAUCUGUUUCCAUCUUCCCCUGGGAAUCCUGAGGUUUAUCUGUGAGCCUUUGGACUGCUGUAUGGACAACAUACUCUGCAGUAGCAUGAAGAAGUGAGUGAAGACCCUCCCUUGAACCGUUUGCCCUGAAAGAACAGAAGUCACAUCUUGAUAUCUCAGUGCCUUUACAGUGCCAGGGAUGGGGUAGGUGCUGAGCGCCUGGUAUGUGCUCACCCUAUGCUGUACAACACACAGAAAGCCCCACAGGGUUUGAACUGUAAUUAGGUAGAGGGUGUGUGGGACUCGCCUUGGGUCUCUGACUUUGGCUUCUGCUCCCGGCCUUGGAUAGGCUGAUAUUUUCUAGUAGAUAUCAGAGACUCCGGUUGAUAGCACCACAAUGGCUUUUCUCCCAACUUUUUGUUUUACGUAUUAUCAAGCCAACAGAGAAGUUGCAAGAAUAGCACAAUGAACAUGCAUAUACCCUUCACCUGGAUUCACCACUUUUGUUUCAUUUCUCUCAGUAUAUAUGUUUGUGUGUGUUGGAGACAUAUGACAUUUUACCUCGAAACCAGGCAUCUCCUAGGAAAAAGAGCAGCCUCCCAUAUAACAACAAUACAAUGAUAACCCUUAAAAAACUUUGCAUUAAUAAAUCCCAUUAGUUAAUAAAAAAAAAAAAAAA
rnacentral:lncRNA from 1 species